rnacentral:rRNA from 1 species
AUUGAACGCUGGCGGCAUGCUUUACACAUGCAAGUCGAACGGCAGCGCGGGCUUCGGCCUGGCGGCGAGUGGCGAACGGGUGAGUAAUGCAUCGGAACGUGCCCAGUGGUGGGGGAUAGCCCGGCGAAAGCCGGAUUAAUACCGCAUACGACCUGAGGGUGAAAGCGGGGGACCGAAAGGCCUCGCGCUAUUGGAGCGGCCGAUGUCGGAUUAGCUAGUUGGUGGGGUAAAGGCUUACCAAGGCGACGAUCCGUAGCUGGUCUGAGAGGACGACCAGCCACACUGGGACUGAGACACGGCCCAGACUCCUACGGGAGGCAGCAGUGGGGAAUUUUGGACAAUGGGGGCAACCCUGAUCCAGCCAUGCCGCGUGCGGGAAGAAGGCCUUCGGGUUGUAAACCGCUUUUGUUCGGGAAGAAAUCCUCUGGGCUAAUACCCCGGGGGGAUGACGGUACCGGAAGAAUAAGCACCGGCUAACUACGUG